AGUUCUCCCUUCAACUAGAAGUGGUUUUUGGGCUUGGUAACUGAUCGAAAGUGUAUAGUUUCUUCGAAAUGUCUUUCUCUCCGAGCAAUGGAAAGAAGCGCAAGCGUAGCCCUGGGGACAACGAUGGAAUCACGCCCAGGAUGGGCCUUGAUGAUUCUCCGCCGGUGGCGCCACCGAGAAGUGGAUACGGUUACGGGCCCGGACUGGGCAUGCUAGGAGGAAUUGGACAAGGGCGGGGACAUGGUCAAGGAUUGGGACAUGGACAUGGACAGGCAAUGAGAUUUGGACUUGGAUUUGGUCAUGGACGGGGACAGGGACUUGGAUUCGGUCAUGGACAAGGACAGGGACUCGGACAAGGACACAGACCGGGGCUUGGACAAGGACAGGGGCUAGGAUCUGACGGUGGAUUUGGCGAGGACACAGAAAGAACACUGAGUGUGCCGGUUGAUGAAAACACUUAGGAUAAGUAACCAGGCGAAGGAGCAAACACUCACUAGGAGCAGGCGACAACACCCACCCGAAGAAGACACCAGGACCAGGACAGUACACCUCAGGGGCUCAUCAAGGAGUGAUUCAAGCAGCAACACCCGACCCGACCACAGAAGCUCCUCAGUCGAUUAACAAUCCAUCAGGCAGGACACUUACGGCAGGGCAGUCACCAAUUAGGCCACUUAAGGCGCGGCAAUCAAUCACCAGGCUGGAACGGAAGAUUUGGGUUUUGCAUUGGAAAUAGUUGUUGAGAUAAGCUUGACGUUUCAUAAAAUGUAAUACAUAUAUAUUUUCGUUUCUCGAUUCUUGCUCUUUGUCUUUUUGUUAGUUUCUUAACUCUUCCCGUUGACUGCCAUGUCGGGUGUUCUUUGUGCUGGCUGUCCCUCUCCGCUAUCCUGCUGGCCUCGUCCUGUCUCUGCCGGACUCGGACUCGGCCCUCCUGACCACUCUCUCGCGCUUUGUUUUCAACAAUCCUGCCUCUUCUAAUGAUUAUAUAGAGCACUGGGCGUCCAAAGUUGGGCCCGCGCGCGUAGUAUGUAUAUUUGAUUUAAAUCGAAGCUGCUAAAAACGUAAAAGCAAAUUCAACAAACAAACUCUCAUAGGUCGUACAUAUUUGUCGAUACAUUGAUUCUUACUCUAGAUAUAAGGUAUGUGAUGCAGAUAUCUGUGGUUCACUGGAUAUAAGGCAAUGGAUACGUGUGUGUGGUGAGGGGUGUGUGGUGUGUGGUGUUUGGUGUUUGGUGUUUGGUGUUUGGGGUGGGGGUAGAUGCCAUAUUAUGAUCUGAUCCGGACCCGCAUCCGGAGUCGGAGUACGGAGUCCUGGAUCCCAAAAUCAAGGCGCAAACAAAGACGAGGGGGCAAAGGUUAACAAUGUUCAAUAUUUUCGUAUCUUAGGG